GUCCACGCCCUAAACGAUGAGUGCUAGUUGUCGGGGUCUUAGAUCUCGGUGGCGAAGCUAACGCGUUAAGCACUCCGCCUGGGGACUACGGUCGCAAGACUAAAACUCAAAGAAAUUGACGGGGACCCGCACAAGCAGUGGAGCAUGUGGUUUAAUUCGAUGCUACGCGAAAAACCUUACCAACCCUUGAAUCCCAUUGACCGGUACAGAAAUGUACUUUGGAGCAAUCCACAGUGGAGACAGGUGUUGCAUGGCUGUCGU
rnacentral:rRNA from 1 species